AGAUGGAUAUUAACACAUCCUUUAAACACACAGGCCUGGUCCCCGCCUUAAAAUCACCUCUCUCUUGACUUACACAUGCAAGUCUCCGCAUUCCCGUGAAAACGCCCCCCACCCUCCACCUAGGAGUAAGGAGCUGAUAUCAGGUGACUAACCCAAGACAUCUAGCUAUGCCACACCCACAAGGGUCCUCAGCAGUGAUCAACAUUAAAAAUGAACGUCAGUUCGACUUAGCCAAUGAGAAUAGAGCCGGCCAAUCUGGUGCCAGCCGCCGCGGUUACACCACGAGACUCAAAUUGAUUUUAAUACGGCGUAAAGGGUGAUUAAAGACACAAAAUAUUGGGGUUAAAUUCAAACUAAGCUGUAAUAAGCUUGUUCUUAAGAAAACCUAUUCGAAAGAUACCCCAACCUACCCACUUGAAUUCACGACAACUAGGGCACAAACUGGGAUUAGAUACCCCACUAUGCCUAGUCACAAACUUUAACUUACAUCUCAUCGCCAGGGAACUACGAGCUAAGCUUAAAACCCAAAGGACUUGACGGUACCCCACAUCCCCCUAGAGGAGCCUGUCCUAUAACCGAUACCCCCCGUUUAACCUCACCACUUUUAGUUUUCAGCCUGUAUACUUCCGUCGCCAGCUUACCGCGUGAGCGAAUAAGUAAGCUUAAUGUCCACAUCAAUACGUCAGGUCAAAGUGCAGCAAAUAAAGUGGAAAGAGAUGGGCUACACUCUCUAUUAUAGAAAACACGAAAGACUGCCUGAAAUAGCGGUCAAAAGGCGGAUUUAGUAGUAAAAAGAAAAUAGAGUGUUCUUUUUAACUCGGCACUGGGGUGUGUACACACCGCCCGUCACUCUCUUCAACAAAUCCACCAAGUUCUUAACAAAACCUACCUUAUAGAAGAGGCAAGUCG
rnacentral:ncRNA from 1 species